UUGUGCGCACCUGUUCAUUUCAAUGUACCUGUGGGUUAAUGGGCCCAGCUACAAUGUGGAUCACGAAAUUGCUUAGAUUUUUGGUUUGCUAGUAGGCGGCUUACACUAGUAGGCAGUGCCCCAGGAAAUUGGACCCUGCUGUAACUGGCUUAAGUUCCAAGUCCGGAUGUACGGGGAAAAGCCCCAAACUUGGAAAUCGAUUAUUCUCAGAUUUCAGCAGCCCCGGGCAGGUCAUUUCUGACAAUGUGUGUCAUUUCUGUUGUGCACUACACUUUGUGUGUCUAUUGCAGGAAUUCAUGGUGGUCACUGUCCUUGUUGCAGCUGUGCAUAGUCGGAAAUGAAUUCACUGCGGUCACUGUCCAUGUUGCAGCUGUGAAUAGUCGGAAAGGAAUUCACUGUGGUCACCGUCCAUGUUGCAGUGGUGAAUACUGUAAAAGCCAUAUAUAAAACGAAGUGCUAACUCUAACGAGUUAACGAGGAGAAAUCUGUCGUUAAAAUAGAAAUCCUUAUACUGAAAUCGAUACAUAUAAUGUCCUAUUCAGCAUUGAGAAUGAGUGAGAAUCGUUACCUUUGGUACACGUAAACUAGUCAAUUUUGGGAAAUCAUUAUAUAUGCGCCUCGUUAGAAUAAUGGCUUUUACAGUAGUCGGAAAGGUGAUUGGUGAAUUUUUGACCAUUUGUGCGCACAUGUUUUUUUAAUGUCCUUUGUGUAAAUGGACGCAGCUGCAGUGUGGGCGCUGGAAUUGUGUUGAUUUUUGGUUUGCUAGCUGAUUUUGUGAGGUCUGCAUUUGCCACUAAGGUGGCCUGCGAAAGCGAAGGCUUGUGUGUUUCUGACCAUUCAAGUGAUGCUAAACUCGAAUCUCGGGAAUAUUAUUGUUAAUAGUAGGCCGCUUGUACUCGUAGGCAGUUCGCCAGAAAAUUAGACCUUGUUGACCCUGUGACCCCGUUCCAACUCCGCGUGCACGGGCGAAAUGCCCGAAACUUGGAGAUGGAUAAUCUUGAGCUUUCUGCGGCGCAUAAUGCGUUUGAUUUCUGUGGUGCACUACCCUUUGUGUGCCUAUUGCAGGAAUUCACGGUGGUCAUUGUCAGUGUUGCAGCUGUGAAUAGCCUGAAACAUGAGAAAUGGUGAACUUUUGGACCAUUUGUGCGCACCAGUUGGCCAAGCUGCAAUGUGGGUGCUGGAAUUGCUUUGACAUUAUUUUGGUUUGCUAGUACGCCGCUUGUACUCGUUGGCAGUGCCCUAGGAGAUUUGACCCAGCUGUUACUGGCUUGAGUUCCAAGUCCGGAAACACGGGCAAAAAGCCCCAAACUUGAAGAUGGUUAUUUUCAGCUUUCAGCAGCCCAGGCAAGUCGUUUAUGGCAAUGUGUGUCAUUCCUGUUGUUCACUUCUCUUUAGUUGGAAGGUUGAGAAAUUGUGAAUGUACUGUCGUGGACGUGCAAAUCCGGUCGCACGUCUAGCGGCCCCAGGGCGCUAGCCAUGCAGCCGAGGAUAAGCGGAAUGCUGAAUGUAUAUGCACUGCAGCGCGCUGGUCGCAUCGGAUCAACAUGACUGCACGCAGCGUUCUGU